AGCAGGCAGUGUGGCUGGGAGGGGGAGGCUCUAGACUGAAGCAGAGGCCGGCAGGGCCUGAUAGCCAAGAUCAGGAGUGUACUUUAUCUGAGAGUGGUAGGAAGCCGUGGGAGUAAUUUAAACAUGGAAGGGACACGAUCAGUUUUUGUUUCAAAGAAAUCUCCUUGAAGAAAUGAGGUGCAGUCCCUGGCAAGAGCUGGCCCCAUGGGGAGUGCUUUGUUGACAGUGCCCAGUGCCCAGCAACCAGGCUGGGUUUGGGAAGGAGGCUGGAGUCUUCAGGAGGAAGGUCCUGCCCAAGAUGGUGCAGAGGGCUGGAGUGAAAUGGUGUGACCUCGGCUCCCUGCAACGUCUGCCUCCCAGGUCCAAAGGAUUCUCCUGCCUCAGCCUCCCAAGUAGCUGGGAUUACAGGCGCCUGCCACCACACCCAGCUAAUUUUUUGUAUUUUUUAGUAGAGAUGGGGUUUCACCAUGUUGGUCAGGCUGGUCUCAAACUUCUGACCUCAGAUGAUCCACCCUCCUUGGCCUCUCAAAGUGUUGAGAUCACAGGCGUGAGCCACCACGCCCGACCCUGAAUGUUUCUGAAGCAUGCUGUUUCUUCAUUCUGGAAUAUUCACUAAAAGAGCCCCUACUAAUAAUUAACCCAGUAGUAAUAAUAAUGCCCACCGUUUGUCAUUCUUUCCAUGUGCUCCGUACAUUACAUGUGCAUCUCAGUUUAUCCCAAUCAGUAGGCGGUUCCAUCCUUCAAUUUCAUUUUGCAAAUAAAGAAACCAAAGCUCACAGGGGAUAUGUAACUUGCCGAAGGUCACAUAGCCACAGAGGGCAGAGGCUGAAUUCAAACCACUCACUCUGACUCAGCAUCUACCUCAGAGCAGCCAUUCAGUGGCCUCUUGUGACACAUAAAGCAAGAAGAUACCAGUGAGUGUUUGGACCAUGUCUUCUUGGUAAAGUUACCAUUAGUCUGACCACAGAUGUUUCUCAAGAAGCAGUGAAGGGUUUGGUUUGGUGAUGUCAGUGGCUGGGGUCACAUGAACCAAACCAUUGCUAAGCUGUGAUGUCUGAGGCUGCCAUGAACUGGUUAUUGCCCAGAUUUAAAAGAAAGGUGGAAAAAAUUAUCCUAGUCUACCAUAUGGCUCAGCUGGCCAUAGUGUUUACAUAGUCAGAAAAUGUCAACACAGAAUAGCGAUAUAAUCAAAAUUACCCUCUACGGUGUGGCUGUAUUGGGAAGAGAGAGGCGGGGGUGGGUGUGAGGCAACAGGAGCUAAAAGAACUCCUCGUCUCCCAGGGCAGGAAAUCAAGAAAAAACUCCUAAAACUACACAGAUCAAGAAGAAACUAUGUGAGAUGUUAUUUAGAGACAUGAAAAUGAACAUUCCCAAGAAUCCGUUUCAAGAGUUGAAAGUGGCCACCCUGGAGAUGGGUCAGGGCUGCAGUUGUUCAUGACUAACCUUUGUACAUUUCUGAGAAAUCUGUGCUUACGUGUAACUUCGCUUAAAAUAAAAAAUUUAAUAAAAUCCAAAGCAAAAACAAACAGAGCAAUUCUGGCCCCAUUUGGGGAGGGAGUGGGCUGUGAUUACGAGAAUAAGGGCCCAGGAGGCGGGGAUUCCUCUGUCAGGUAUGCAACGGGAAGCUGGUGGGGUCUUGGCAAGGCUUUGGUGGAGAGAGGUCAUUGGAAUGGUGACCUCACUUGGAACUGGUGAGGGCAGGAGAAGGUAGGAGGGUUAAAAAAGAAGAAGCAGAACCGAAGGAGAAAAAAAGGAAGCCUGGUCAUUCCACAGCCAAGAUCAUACUCCCAGGAGACCUACAGCCUUUCGUCAGGG